AUUGAACGCUGGCGGCAGGCUUAACACAUGCAAGUCGAACGAGUGGCGGACGGGUGAGUAAUGUCUGGGAAACUGCCUGAUGGAGGGGGAUAACUACUGGAAACGGUAGCUAAUCCCGCCUACCAUCGGCUGUGCCCAGAUGGGAUUAGCUAGUAGGUGGGGUAAAGGCUCACCUAGGCGACGAUCCGUAGCUGGUCUGAGAGGAUGACCAGCCACGCUGGAACUGAAACACGGUCCAGACUCCUGCGGGAGGCAGCAGUGGGGAAUAUUGCACAAUGGGCGCAAGCCGGAUGCAGCCAUGCCGCGUGUAUGAAGAAGGCCUUCGGGUUGUAAAGUACUUUCAGCGGGGAGGCGUUACCCGCAGGAGAGGCACCGGCUAACUCCGUGCCAGCAGCCGCGGUAAUUC
rnacentral:rRNA from 1 species